CCCGGUGUAGCUCAGUUGGUAGCAGCGUACCGCUGAAGACGGUAAGGUCGUCGGUUCAACUCCGACCGCCGGGAC
rnacentral:tRNA from 1 species